rnacentral:misc_RNA from 1 species
GAUGAAGAACGUAGUAAAAUGCGAUAAGUAAUGUGAAUUGCAGAAUUCAGUGAAUCAUCGAAUCUUUGAACGCACAUUGCGCCCGCCAGUAUUCUGGCGGGCAUGCCUGUCCGAGCGUCAUUUCAACCAUCAAGCCCCGGGCUUGUGUUGGGGACCUGCGUCCGACGCAGGCCCUGAAAACCAGUGGCGGGCUCGCUGUCCACACCGAGCGUAGUAACUAACCUCGCUAUGGAGUGGCGCGGGCGCCUGCCGUAAAACCCCCAAUUUCACAAGGUUGACCUCGGAUCAGGUAGGAAUACCCGCUGAACUUAAGCAUAUCAAUAAGCGGAGGA